rnacentral:misc_RNA from 1 species
UCCUGGUUAACCCAGGCAGUCUCGUUAGAGUUCCCACCAUUACAUGUUGGCAACUAACGAUAAGGGUUGCGCUCGUUGCGGGACUUAACCCAACACCUCACGGCACGAGCUGACGACAGCCAUGCAGCACCUGUGCAGCAGUCCCGAAGGAAGACGCUAUUUCUAGCGCUGUCUACUGCAUGUCAAGCCUGGGUAAGGUUCUUCGCGUUGCAUCGAAUUAAACCACAUGCUCCACUGCUUGUGCGGGUCCCCGUCAAUUCUUUUGAGUUUCAGCCUUGCGACUGUACUCCUCAGGCGGUAUACUUAACGCGUUAGCUACGGCACAACCAGGGUUGAGUCCGGUUACACCAAGUAUACAUAGUUUACAGUAAGGACUAC